rnacentral:misc_RNA from 1 species
AACAUCGCGCACCUGCGGGAACCUGCGGAAGGAUCAUUAAAGAUUGACCGAAAGGUCUUAUCUCUAUAUCCCUCACCUCUGUGAACUGUGGACCUCCGGGUCUAUUUAACAAACAUCAGUGUAAUGAACGUAUAUAUCAUUAAACAAAACAAAACUUUCAACAAUGGAUCU